rnacentral:lncRNA from 1 species
GGUUGCCUGUGUGACUUUGGGGCUAGUCCCCGGCAUAAUCUGAAAUGCUUUAUGGCCUCAUCAAAAGUAAGUCUAUCAUUGGUUGUGAUUUUCUUGUGUUAAUAUUUUCACAUAUUAAGGUGGAUACCUCGUAGUAGUUGCCCAACGAGUCGUAUAAAUAGAUAAAAGGAAUGACAGUAUCCAUUUGACAAAACAACACAAAAAAUUCCGAUUUCUUUGGAAAAAAGAAACUAAAAACAAUUUGACAGCCAUAGAAAUUUGAAAUAUUCUGACUUCCUUUUGGCAACUUUACAUCUAAGAUCUAAAAUAAAAUUGGAAAGAUUUAACAAUAAUGGUGUGAUGAAUCGAUUCUCU